rnacentral:rRNA from 1 species
AGUGAACGCUGGCGGCAGGCCUAACACAUGCAAGUCGAGCGGCAGCGCGGGGGCAACCCUGGCGGCGAGCGGCGGACGGGUGAGGAAUACAUCGGAAUCUACCCAGUCGUGGGGGCAUAACGUAGGGAAACUUACGCUAAUACCGCAUACGACCUGAGGGUGAAAGCAGGGGACCGCAAGGCCUUGCGCGAUUGGAUGAGCCGAUGUCCGAUUAGCUAGUUGGUGAGGUAAAGGCUCACCAAGGCGACGAUCGGUAGCUGGUCUGAGAGGAUGAUCAGCCACACUGGAACUGAGACACGGUCCAGACUCCUACGGGAGGCAGCAGUGGGGAACUAUUGGACAAUGGGCGCAAGCCUGAUCCAGCCAUGCCGCGUGUGUGAAGAAGGCCUCGGGUUGUAAAGCACUUUUGUCCGGAAAGAAAUCCUGUCGGUUAAUACCUGGCGGGGAUGACGGUACCGGAAGAAUAAGCACCGGCUAACUUCGUGCCAGCAGCCGCGGUAAUACGAAGGGUGCAAGCGUUACUCGGAAUUACUGGGCGUAAAGCGUGCGUAGGCGGUUCGUCAAGUCAGAUGUGAAAGCCCCGGGCUCAACCUGGGAAUUGCAUUUGAUACUGGCGGGCUAGAGUACGGUAGAGGGAGGUGGAAUUCCCGGUGUAGCAGUGAAAUGCGUAGAGAUCGGGAGGAACAUCUGUGGCGAAGGCGGCCCACCUGGACCAGUACUGACGCUGAGGCACGAAAAG